rnacentral:rRNA from 1 species
GACGAACGCUGGCGGCGUGCCUAAUACAUGCAAGUCGAACGCAGUGGGGACGGGUGAGUAACACGUGGGUAACCUCCCAUCAGAGGGGAUAACACUUGGAAACAGGUGCUAAACCGAUACUGAUGGAUGGACCCGCUGUGCAUUAGCUAGUUGGUGAGGUAACGGCUCACCAAGGCCACGAUGCAUAGCCAACCUGAGAGGGUGGUAUGCCAGACUGGAACUUGGACACGGCCCAAGUUCCUACGGGAGGCAGCAGUAGGGAAUCUUCGGCAAUGGAAGAAAGUCUGACCGAGCAACGCCGCGUGAGUGAAGAAGGUUUUCGGACCAUAAAACUCUGUUGUUAGAGAAGCGGUAUCUAACCAGAAAGCCACGGCUAACUACGUGCCAGCAGCCGCGUUAAUAC